rnacentral:lncRNA from 1 species
GAUAAAUAGGAAGCAAUAAAUAAACCUGCUACUGUAUAGAAAACAAUGCAAAGAAUGCCUCAAUGUACUGAACCAGAAACUGUACCCAAUCUGUGCCUGCUGUAUCGGUCCGCAGACCUCAAGCGCUACCUGUCACUAACUGCACCGACCUGAUCCAUCCGCCCCGCAGGACGACCUAUCCGGAUAAGUACACCUCCGAUCGGUGGCCAAACCGAUCCGGUGUCAUGAAUACCCCCAAGUGCCGUGACUAAGUCAAUGCUGAUAUGCUCAAACAAAAACAAACCCGGCUAAAGCCGGUGCCUAGGCCGAAGCCAACAACGAGGGCAUACAAUACCAAACUGAAAUAGAAGCUAGGGCGUACAACGCCGAACUGGAGUAGAUGUUAGGGCGUACAACGCCGAACCUCGAUCAACCAGAUCGAAACACACGACAAGAGAGUCGAUGUGUUGCCUGGACCCAAGGUCCACAGAGAUACUGAAAUACAAAUGUAACCUGCUCUACAUGUCUAUCAACUACUAACCAAAUGCAAUCAAAGAGGUACGAUAUACGAAAGAUAAGCAAACAAUGACAUGUAGAGACUAAAAUACGGGAAUAGAAAAACAUGAGAAGGAAGUGAAACGCUCUCACCGACUACCAGCUCGAAGCACCCACCUGUCACUGACGCGUCGGAACACUGGGUACGCACAAGUCGACCGGACCUAAGAAGAUCCACCAAGUCAGUAUCCAAUCCACUAACCCAAAGCACGAGACUCACAAACCCCCACAAAGGAUCCCCGUAAUCGAUUUCCCAAAACCGAUUACCGUAACUCACCGGAAGUCCCGAAAACCACACCGGGACGCCGUCGGGACCCACUAAGUGUCCCCGAACUCACCGAC